AAGAGCAGUGACAAGGCAUUGUGUUCAGCUUAGGAAAUGAACGCAUGAAGAAUAGCUUUGUUUGCAUUCUGGUAACUGCUGAGGCUUUGGCUGACGACAGCUUUCAGCUGCACCUGAACUAGGCUGGAUUUGUCUCCUGCUCUCCAUAGGUGAGUAUUUCUCUUGCAGACCUUUGAAUCAGCUUUGUACACAGCUUACGUUAUGGAACAGGAAAGACUCCAAUAUGGUAAAAACGUGAUUUCUGGUGUUUUGGUACGUAUAUUCAAGUCAGUAUGGGUCCAUUUCAGACAUCAUCGUCUCACAUCUGUUUGUUGUCUCAUGGCAAACAAAUUUUUACUAAUUUGGCUACAUACAUACUCCACCCAUAGUUUGCGUAUUGUCUUCUUAGGGUGAGGUUUGCCUGCUGAACAGCAAGACAAAAGAAGCUGAAAUUACAGAAGCAGAGAAGCAAAGGCAGCUUAGAGGCUUAAUACAGUACGGAUCAGUUAGAGUAUGACUUGGAAGUUGUUGUGUUCUGGGUCUUAGGUGGGAUGAGAUUUGGGUGUGAAUGUUACAGCCAAGUGUUUUUCCCUUGUUCAUUGUUCACCUGCUGCCAUGCAAGCCAGCUCUUCUUUUCCCUGCCUCUGCUUUUCUUGUUGCAUGCAUAUGCAUCGCAAAAUCUCUGCACAGAUUUAUUUUCCCGUUUUAAAAGUGUAUAGCUAGAAGUGGGGCUUAUCUCAUCAUCUGAUGGAGAUUGGUUGUGUAUGGGGGAGUUUGCACGAAUUAUUAGCAUCUCACCAAAAGCAAGGAACAGAAAAAGAAAGAAAAAAACACCAAACCGCCCAAAAGCUGCAUAAAUGACUAUAGCUGAGCCAGCAGGAAAUAGUACCUGCAGUUUGCAGAGUCCUCAUUUUGCUCAGCACUGACUGGAUGGGGUUAACAGUGACCACUAAUGAAGGAGCUCUGCUACCUGUCUCAGCAGUGCUCCAGUCUUUGUUGCUGCAUUAUGAAUGCACUGCUCCUCCUGCCACAUUUCUUCAUGCCCUCAGUUGUUAUCUGAGCAGUGGUAGCCCCCACGAGCUAUGCAGUCAGUGCCUGCUUGCUCCAGGUGCUCCAUAAGCACAGCAGAAGGAUGCCAGGGGGCUUGCAGGCAGUGUGUGCAUGCUGUUGCUCUCUCCAAGAAGCCCCUGUUUUGGCUAGCUGCAGAAGAAACCAUUUUUUCCUUGGUCAGAUCCUUGCAAACGCAGUGCAAGCGUACAGAACUGUACAGUGUCUAGCUGUCUUUUCGCAGUACAUGCAAUGAGGUUAUCUAUUUUUCAGGCAGAGAAGUGCCUCCAGGCAGUUUGGAGAACUGCUGGUUCAGGCUUCACCUCCACUAAUCCCAGUUCAGUCACUUUCCUCUGCAGAACCUGCAUCAUGCCGUGGUUUUAAGCUGCAGAUGGAGUUCUUCUCGCAGGACUGAAGUGCUGCAGCUCUCUGAGCUCCGAAGGCACCCUGAACUCAUAAUGAGCUCCAUGGCAUUGCAAAGAAUGCACCAAAGUAAGUAGUGCAGGAAAGCAUUUUUUCCAGUUAGAAUGUUGGCCUUCCAAAGCAGGCCUGCCUUGGUUGCACUGGCUUGCAUCUCAGCUGGUGUUCUGUUGUCAGGGUUCCCGUAUUUCUAGCGGUUGGCAGGGAGGUGGCUCAUGACAUUGAGGGGCUGGAGAUCAGCCCUGCCAAAAGGGAGGGAUCUGGGCGUUGUGGUUGCUGACAACUUGAAUCUGAGCUGGCAGUGUGCCCUGGGCACAGGGUUUGAGUUUGGGUGGUCCUUUGGGGAGCCAGGGGUUGGACUUGAUGGUCCCUGUGUGUCCCUUCCAACUCAGGAUAUUCGAUGAUUCUGUGAUAUCCGUGGUUUGCCUGGGAAAUCCCUGAUGGUUUUUUCUUUCCCUUUUUCAUGGCAUAGCGAGCUGUGAGAAGUGAAGGAAUGGCAGUGCGUGCUUAACCGGGCUGCGUGGCAAGCAGGUCCAGUGGGCUGCUGUAUAAGGAUGCAUCCAGACUUCCAAAUCACCUCCUUUAAGAAGGCCGAAUAGUCUUUCAGUGAUUGUUCUGGGCAGCUCACACCACUGGGUGUAUAAUUCAUUUCACUUGGAAUUUCAGGGUCAGACAUAAAUGUCUGAGAAGGAAGUGAGAGGCUGAACUGCUAUUUGGAAAAAUGAAAAGUGUUUAAAAUGUUUUUGCAAAAUACCCCUCAGCAAACAGUCGUCCUUUUGCACUUUUGGCCAGUCUCAGAUGCUUGUCUUCCAGAAUGUCUGCGUGUGGAUGAAUUGCAACAGGAUCCUGGGAAUUUUUAAGAAAGGUAGGAAGGAGGACCCGGGGAACUACAGGGCGGUGAGCCUCACCUCUGUGCCUGGGAAGAUCAUGGAGCAGAUCCUCCUACAAGAGGAAGAAACUUACAGGAGAAAAAAACUACAGGAAAGAUUGCUUUACGUGUAAUGAAAAGCUAGUGUCCAGAAGAUCACUGCGGCCAGAUGCCAAUUUUGAUGCCCUCGUCAGUAAGAUUUGUCCGAGCCCUGAUGUAUGUGAAGCUCAUCAGGAGGGAAUGCUAGCAAGAAUCAGCUAACACAAUAGCAGCAAGCUUUCAGUGACAGCGUUCAGGAAGGGUGACGAUUCAGGCUGGGAGCAGGAAGUGACCAACCAUCUGCACAGGACGCGCUGCGGUUUGGCAGCCAUCCCACACUGCCAGUCUCGGCCAGAGGAACACAGACAGCGCCGACAACUGGCAUGCCAGGGGUGGAUGCUGGGAAAAACACAAGGGCUGUGCUUCAGGAGUUUCUGCAGGUGCACUUCACCCUAGUGAUCGCAGUGCUUGUAACUGUGCUGCUGUCUGGGCUGGUGAUGACCUGUAUUGCUGUGUCGUGGAUGUGGCACAAAUAUCCAGUGUGCAAGAGGGCAGAGACAGCUCCAGGACAAGCUCAUCCUGAGAGUGACCGGGAGAGAGGCCAAUCUGGAAGUGAAGGCAGAGCGGAGCUGGGAGAGGCAACAGAAGAUGCCGUAGUUGCCCAAGAAAAGAAGAAUGUGUCCAGCGGAUCCAGCCCGUUCCCCUCCUCCUUUGAAGCGGAGUUUGAACAGCUGUGCAGCAAAAUCAGCACAGACCCUUCCCCUUUGGCCCACAUGUCCCAGCAGCUCUCCCACGGACGGCGUCUCUUCCCCAGAUGCCCGCGGUUCUCGGGGUUCCCCAUAGCCAUCUAGUGCCCCGGUUACCUGUGUCAGCAGGGCUGGGGUCCCCUGGAAGACCCUGCUUUGUGAGUAAUAAAGACACCCUGUGCAAAAGCA